CAGCCGUAAACUAUGCUCGCUAGGUGUCAGGCAUGGCGCGACCGUGUCUGGUGCCGCAGGGAAGCCGUGAAGCGAGCCACCUGGGAAGUACGGCCGCAAGGCUGAAACUUAAAGGAAUUGGCGGGGGAGCACCACAACAGGUGGAGCCUGCGGUUUAAUUGGACUCAACGCCGGGAAGCUCACCGGAUAAGACAGCGGAAUGAUUGCCGGGCUGAAGACUCUGCAUGACUAGCUGAGAGGUGGUGCAUGGCGUAGACGUCU
rnacentral:rRNA from 1 species